GUCCUUGCCAUAAACGAUGUAUACUUGGUGUAGUUAGGCUCAACCCUGACUGUACCGUAGCCAACGCGAUAAGUAUACCGCCUGGGGAGUACGCUCGCAAGGGUAAAACUCAAAAGAAUUGACGGGGACCCGCACAAGCAGUGGAGCAUGUGGUUUAAUUCGAUGCAACGCGAAGAACCUUACCUGGAUUUGACAUGCAGUUGACCACUGUAGAAAUAUAGUUUUCUCGCAAGAGACAAUUGCACAGGUGCUGCAUGGCUGUCGU
rnacentral:rRNA from 1 species